GGCGAACGGGUGAGUAAUGCAUCGGAACGUGCCCAGUCGUGGGGGAUAACGCAGCGAAAGCUGCGCUAAUACCGCAUACGAUCUGUGGAUGAAAGCGGGGGACCGUAAGGCCUCGCGCGAUUGGAGCGGCCGAUGUCAGAUUAGGUUGUUGGUGAGGUAAAGGCUCACCAAGCCGACGAUCUGUAGCUGGUCUGAGAGGACGACCAGCCACACUGGGACUGAGACACGGCCCAGACUCCUACGGGAGGCAGCAGUGGGGAAUUUUGGACAAUGGGCGCAAGCCUGAUCCAGCAAUGCCGCGUGCAGGAUGAAGGCCUUCGGGUUGUAAACUGCUUUUGUACGGAACGAAACGGUCCUUUCUAAUACAGAGGGCAAAUGACGGUACCGUAAGAAUAAGCACCGGCUAACUACGUACCAGCAGCCGCGGUAAUACGUAGGGUGCAAGCGUUAAUCGGAAUUACUGGGCGUAAAGCGUGCGCAGGCGGUCUUGUAAGACAGGUGUGAAAUCCCCGGGCUUAACCUGGGAACUGCACUUGUGACUGCAAGGCUGGAGUACGGCAGAGGGGGAUGGAAUUCCGCGUGUAGCAGUGAAAUGCGUAGAUAUGCGGAGGAACACCGAUGGCGAAGGCAGUCCCCUGGGCCUGUACUGACACUGAGGAGCGAAAGCGUGGGGAGCGAACAGGAUU
rnacentral:rRNA from 1 species